rnacentral:rRNA from 1 species
GGGUGAACGGCCACAUUGGAACUGAGAGACGGUCCAAACUCCUACGGGAGGCAGCAGUGGGGAAUAUUGGGCAAUGGGGGGAACCCUGACCCAGCAACGCCGCGUGAGGGAAGAAGGUUUUCGGAUUGUAAACCUCUGUUCUUGGAGAAGAGUGUAAGACGGUAUCCAAGGAGGAAGCCCCGGCUAACUACGUGCCAGCAGCCGCGGUAAUACGUAGGGGGCGAGCGUUGUCCGGAAUGAUUGGGCGUAAAGGGCGCGCAGGCGGCCCGACAAGUCAGUAGUGGAAGUCCAUUUUUCAAGGGUGGAAGUGCUAUUGAAACUGUAGGGCUUGAGUGCGGGAGAGGUUAUCGGAAUUCCCGGUGUAGCGGUGAAAUGCGUAGAGAUCGGGAGGAACACCAGUGGCGAAGGCGGGUAACUGGACCGCAACUGACGCUGAGGCGCGAAAGUGUGGGGAGCAAACAGGAUUAGAUACCCUGGUAGUCCACACGGUAAACGAUGAAUGCUAGGUGUAGGGGGUAUCGACCCCUUCUGUGCCGCAGUAAACACAGUAAGCAUUCCGCCUGGGGAGUACGGUCGCAAGAUUAAAACUCAAAGGAAUUGACGGGGGCCCGCACAAGCAGCGGAGCAUGUGGUUUAAUACGAAGCAACGCGAAGAACCUUACCAGGUCUUGACAUCCAGGUAAAGCCGCAGAGAUGCGGUGUGUGCUUGCACGAUCUGAGACAGGUGGUGCAUGGUUGUCGUCAGCUCGUGUCGUGAGAUGUUGGGUUAAGUCCCGCAACGAGCGCAACCCUUGCCGAUAGUUACUAACGGGUAGAGCCGAGGACUUUAUCGGGACCGCCGGGGACAACUCGGAGGAAGGUGGGGACGACGUCAAAUCAUCAUGCCCCUUAUGACCUGGGCUACACACGUGCUACAAUGGCCGAGACAGAGAGAUGCGAAGGCGCGAGCCGGAGCGGACCUCAGAAAAGCGGUCACAGUUCGGAUUGCGGGCUGCAACCCGCCCGCAUGAAGCAGGAGUUGCUAGUAAUCGCGAAUCAGCAUGUCGCGGUGAAUACGUUCCCGGGCCUCGUACACACCGCCCGUCACACCAUGGGAGUUGGUAGCACCCGAAGGUAGAGAGGUAACCGCGAGGGGCCAUCUGACGAAGGUGAGAUCAAUGACUGGGGUGAAGUCGUAACAAGGUAGCCGUAUCGGAAGGUGCGGCUG